rnacentral:rRNA from 1 species
GACGAACGCUGGCGGCGUGCUUAACACAUGCAAGUCGAACGGAAAGGCCCUGCUUUUGUGGGGUGCUCGAGUGGCGAACGGGUGAGUAACACGUGAGUAACCUGCCCUUGACUUUGGGAUAACUUCAGGAAACUGGGGCUAAUACCGGAUAGGAGCUCCUGCUGCAUGGUGGGGGUUGGAAAGUUUCGGCGGUUGGGGAUGGACUCGCGGCUUAUCAGCUUGUUGGUGGGGUAGUGGCUUACCAAGGCUUUGACGGGUAGCCGGCCUGAGAGGGUGACCGGGCACAUUGGGACUGAGAUACGGCCCAGACUCCUACGGGGGGCAGCAGUGGGGAAUAUUGCACAAUGGGCGGAAGCCUGAUGCAGCAACGCCGCGUGCGGGAUGACGGCCUUCGGGUUGUAAACCGCUUUCGCCUGUGACGAAGCGUGAGUGACGGUAAUGGGUAAAGAAGCACCGGCUAACUACGUG